CGGGCGGCGUGCCUAUACAUGCAGUCGAGCGGACUUGCUGGAGCUUGCUCCAGCAGGUUAGCGGCGGACGGGUGAGUAACACGUGGGCAACCUGCCUGUAAGACUGGGAUAACUCCGGGAAACCGGAGCUAAUACCGGAUAGUAUCUUGAACCGCAUGGUUCAAGUUGGAAAGACGGUUUCGGCUGUCACUUACAGAUGGGCCCGCGGCGCAUUAGCUAGUUGGUGAGGUAAUGGCUCACCAAGGCAACGAUGCGUAGCCGACCUGAGAGGGUGAUCGGCCACACUGGGACUGAGACACGGCCCAGACUCCUACGGGAGGCAGCAGUAGGGAAUCUUCCGCAAUGGACGAAAGUCUGACGGAGCAACGCCGCGUGAGUGAUGAAGGUUUUCGGAUCGUAAAACUCUGUUGUUAGGGAAGAACAAGUGCGAGAGUAACUGCUCGCACCUUGACGGUACCUAACCAGAAAGCCACGGCUAACUACGUGCCAGCAGCCGCGGUAAUACGUAGGUGGCAAGCGUUGUCCGGAAUUAUUGGGCGUAAAGCGCGCGCAGGCGGUUUCUUAAGUCUGAUGUGAAAGCCCCCGGCUCAACCGGGGAGGGUCAUUGGAAACUGGGAAACUUGAGUGCAGAAGAGGAGAGUGGAAUUCCACGUGUAGCGGUGAAAUGCGUAGAGAUGUGGAGGAACACCAGUGGCGAAGGCGACUCUCUGGUCUGUAACUGACGCUGAGGCGCGAAAGCGUGGGGAGCGAACAGGAUUAGAUACCCUGGUAGUCCACGCCGUAAACGAUGAGUGCUAAGUGUUAGAGGGUUUCCGCCCUUUAGUGCUGCAGCUAACGCAUUAAGCACUCCGCCUGGGGGAGUACGGUCGCAAGACUGAAACUCAAAGGAAUUGACGGGGGGCCCGCACAAGCGGUGGAGCAUGUGGUUUA
rnacentral:rRNA from 1 species